GUGCCAGCCGCCGCGGUAAUCCCGGCGCCACAAGUAGGGAGCAGGGUUAUUGGGCCUAAAGCGUUCGUAGCAGGUCGUAUAAAUCUCUUGUGAAAUCGUUGGGCUUAACCUAACGGCGUGCAGGAGAGACUGUUCGACUUGAGAUCGGGAGGGGUAGAGAGUAUUCCUUGGGGAGCGGUAAAAUGCUAUAAUCCUUGGAAGACUACCUGUGGCGAAGGCGCUCUACCAGAACGAGUCUGACUGUGAGGGACGAAAGCUAGGGGAGCAAUCCGGAUUAGAUACCCUCGUAGUCC
rnacentral:rRNA from 1 species